AAUAGAUACCCGGGUAGUCCGUAGCCGUAAACGAUACUCGCUAGGUGUCGGCCACGGUGCGACCGUUGUCGGUGCCGUAGGGAAGCCGUGAAGCGAGCCACCUGGGAAGUACGGCCGCAAGGCUGAAACUUAAAGGAAUUGGCGGGGGAGCACCACAACGGGUGGAGCUCGCGGUUUAAUUGGAUUCAACGCCGGAAAUCUUACCGGGACCGACAGCAAUAUGAAGGCCAGGCUGAAGACUUUGCCGGAUUAGCUGAGAGGUGGUGCAUGGCCGUCGUCAGUUCGUACUGUGAAGCAUCCUGUUAAGUCAGGCAACGAGCGAGACCCACGCCCACAGUUGCCAGCGUACUCUCCGGAGUGACGGGUACACUGUGGGGACCGCCGCUGCUAAAGCGGAGGAAGGAAUGGGCAACGGUAGGUCAGUAUGCCCCGAAUAUCCCGGGCUACACGCGAGCUACAAUGGUUGGUACAAUGGGUAUCUACCCCGAAGGGGAUGGAAAUCUCCUAAAGCCAAUCUUAGUUCGGAUUGAGGGCUGCAACUCGCCCUCA
rnacentral:rRNA from 1 species